ACCGUGAAACUGCGAAUGGCUCAUUAAAUCAGUUAUCGUUUAUUUGAUAGUACCUUACUACUUGGAUAACCGUGGUAAUUCUAGAGCUAAUACAUGCUGAAAACCCCAACUUCGGAAGGGGUGUAUUUAUUAGAUAAAAAACCAAUGCCCUUCGGGGCUUCUUGGUGAUUCAUGAUAACUAAACGGAUCGCAUGGCCUUGCGCCGGCGACGGUUCAUUCAAAUUUCUGCCCUAUCAACUUUCGAUGGUAAGGUAUUGGCUUACCAUGGUUUCAACGGGUAACGGGGAAUUAGGGUUCGAUUCCGGAGAGGGAGCCUGAGAAACGGCUACCACAUCCAAGGAAGGCAGCAGGCGCGCAAAUUACCCAAUCCCGACACGGGGAGGUAGUGACAAUAAAUACUGAUACAGGGCUCUUUUGGGUCUUGUAAUUGGAAUGAGUACAAUUUAAACCUCUUAACGAGGAACAAUUGGAGGGCAAGUCUGGUGCCAGCAGCCGCGGUAAUUCCAGCUCCAAUAGCGUAUAUUAAAGUUGUUGCAGUUAAAAAGCUCGUAGUUGAACCUUGGGCCUGGCUGGCAGGUCCGCCUCACCGCGUGUACUUGUCCGGCCGGGCCUUUCCUUCUGGAGAACCUCAUGCCCUUUACUGGGUGUGCUGGGGAACCAGGACUUUUACUUUGAAAAAAUUAGAGUGUUCAAAGCAGGCCUUUGCUCGAAUACGUUAGCAUGGAAUAAUAGAAUAGGACGUGCGGUCCUAUUUUGUUGGUUUCUAGGACCGCCGUAAUGAUUAAUAGGGACAGUCGGGGGCAUCAGUAUUCAAUUGUCAGAGGUGAAAUUCUUGGAUUUAUUGAAGACUAACUACUGCGAAAGCAUUUGCCAAGGAUGUUUUCAUUAAUCAGUGAACGAAAGUUAGGGGAUCGAAGACGAUCAGAUACCGUCGUAGUCUUAACCGUAAACUAUGCCGACUAGGGAUCGGGCGAUGUUCUCAUUUUGACUCGCUCGGCACCUUACGAGAAAUCA
rnacentral:rRNA from 1 species